rnacentral:snRNA from 1 species
CUCCUUAAACAUAAAAAUCUAGA